rnacentral:rRNA from 1 species
AUUGAACGCUGGCGGCAUGCCUUACACAUGCAAGUCGAACGGCAGCGGGCCUUCGGGUGCCGGCGAGUGGCGAACGGGUGAGUAAUGCAUCGGAACGUGCCAUUGAGUGGGGGAUAACGUAGCGAAAGUUGCGCUAAUACCGCAUAUUCUGUGAGCAGGAAAGCAGGGGACCGCAAGGCCUUGCGCUCUUUGAGCGGCCGAUGUCAGAUUAGCUAGUGUAGGGUAAAGGCCUACCAAGGCCACGAUCGGUAGCUGGUCUGAGAGGAUGAUCAGCCACACUGGCACUGGAACACGGGCCAGACUCCUACGGGAGGCAGCAGUGAGGAAUAUUGGGCAAUGGGCGAAAGCCUGACCCAGCCACGCCGCGUGAGUGAUGAAGGCCCUCGGGUCGUAAAGCUCUGUGGAGAGGGACGAAAACCCUGGUUUCAAAUAGGCUCCAGGCUUGACGGUACCUCUUUAGCAAGCACCGGCUAACU